UUGCAAUUUGGACCUCUGGAGGUGGACAUAAGAUACAGAAAUCAACACUCAGGCUUACUGAAAAGACAUGACAGACAUUUGGCAUUCAUAGCAAAAGCAUCCAGUGGGACUGAUGGAAGUCAGUGACAGCUGCCACCCUAAACAUGAGCUCACAUAUUGAUGCAUGAGCAAUUUUCGGGUUUGCGUAUGAAGGAGAGUCACUUGUAAUCAACCCUGCAGAUAUUAACUCAGUUGGCACUUCGCAGAUCGGCAGAUGAGUUGACUGACCAUGUAUCCGCAAACUGGAGUGGCAGUAAAACUGCAGGAGAGAUGGAAGAAGAACAUGCUUGUCCAGAGAGUAGAGAGAAAAGAUAUGAAGUACUUCAGGGAUUAUUAAACCAUGGCGGCAGAUGUUCUCGACAAAAUAGCAAGAAUGUGUCAACAAAUUGAAAGGAAAUUGUGGUGAGCGUGAACUUCGUGCGAUAGAUGAUUGCUUAAGAAAUGCACAGAGAAUUUCAUAUUUGCUACCUCCUGAGAUGUAUGAAGAAUUGAACAGAAAUCUGGAUGAAAUUCGAACAAUGCUGUCAACGCAUUUGCAGAGUGAGGGAACUACAGCUUUUUCCGUAUCUCAAAGUAGCUCAGGUGAGUUUCUGUUUUUUAAAACUAUGUUCUUUAUAUGCAGUAACCACAUACACAAGCGAGGCAUCUUGGAAAGCUCGUUUUUGUCUUGUUUAUGUGUUUGUUUAUUGUCUGCUCUCUACUUUGGUCAUGACGGUAGCCAUGGUAAUAAAACUGUAACUUUCCCCUCGGUCUGCAUUAAAAGUAGUCUAACCAGUGUACAUGCUAUGUAACUAUUCACUUACAAAAUUAAUACAGUUAUAAUACAAAUUCAAAUCUAUAUACCUAUUGUACAUAAUACAUAUAGUUAAAAGUAGGACUGUACAACAAACUGUAUGCCUACAUAAUUUUAUUAACAUUUUAGAAGAAAAUAAGGAUUAAAGAAACAAUUAUUUGAAUGGCUACUGAAAAACGCUACUGAUAAGGUUCCACACACAGGCCAGUCAGUCCAUAAAAAUGUAUUUGUAUGUGACAUUCAGAUUAUCACACAUCAGUGUACCUUAUUUACGUUUAAAAAUAACAGAAACAGACACUCCAACAGGUCAAAGUUUAAUUUUCAUUUUUCAACUUUGCCUGGUCAAGUUCCAUGACUCAUAAUAAAGAAAUUGUAUUUCUUCAACAUUUGUACUAAAGAAAACAAUAUUGAAAAAGUAAUUUAAAUCUGCCAUCACCCUAUUUUUAGACUAUUACCUUGUUCCAUUCCUUCCUUUCUUUCCAUUCUUAUUUGUCACCAUUUUUCUAAUAUUAUAUUGCUUGCCAUUAGGAGCUGCAUGUCAGUAAAACAAAUAUAUGUUACUUUCAAUUGCAGGUAGCCGAGGUAGACCAGCCAUUCAAAUAACACAUGACCAAAUUGAAUUUUUAAUGAAGCAAGGUCACACAGUCAAGCGAAUGGCAAGAAUGUUAGGGUGCUCAUCCUCAUUUCUGUACAAGAGGUCCAAGCUGCUUGGUGUAUCAAUCAGGAGCAGAAUGUCAGGAGUGGAUGAUGAAGAACUUGAAAAUGUAGUGAGACGACUCCAAUGCCAGUAUCCAAAUACUGGAAGUGAGAUGAUGCCAGCCUUACUGGUUGCAGAAGGAUUGAGGGUUUCCCGGCAUAGGGUUCGUGAGAUGUUGGUACGUAUCAAUCCAGCGGCUGCUGCAAGGAGAUGAAGCAGCACAGUGGCUAGAAGAGUUUAUCAUGUGCCCUGUCCCAACAGUCUCUGGCACAUUGAUGGUAACAUGUGCCUCAUAAGAUGGGGCUUUGUGAUUCAUGGUGCAAUCGAUGGACAUUCACGACUAAUCACAUACCGACAACUGUGCCAGUACUGUGCUGUCUCAGUUUAUUCAAGCAACAUGCCUUUACGGUCUGCCCUCUAGGGUAAGGUCAGAUCACGGUGGUGAGAACUUACAAGUGGCCUUGUUUAUGAACCUUGUACAAGGACUUCAGCGCCGGAGUCACAUUACUGGGGAAUCAGUCCACAACCAAAGGAUAGAACGUUUGUGGAGGGAUGUAUUUUUACAUGUGCUACAAUCAUUCUACAGUCUUGAAGAUUCUGAACUGCUUGAUCCCAGCAAUGACCUUCACAAAGUUUCACUCAGCCAUAGUUUUUCUUCCACAGAUCCAAGCUAGACUACAGCACUUCAAAGAGGCAUGGAAUCACCAUGCUUUGCAGACAGAAAACAAUGAAACACCAACACAGAUAUGGACAGAAGGAAUGCUGUCAAGGAUAGGAACUGACAGCACAGCCAUCAACAAUGUGUUUGAGUCUUUGCCCACAGCUGAAAAUGAAGAAAUCCCAGCUGUAACUGUUGAACAGCCUCAAAUUAACCUUACUUCUCAGCAAAUGGAAACAGUUUCCCAUGCUAGUGACCAUAUUACAGAUUUGAAGAUUAAGUUUCAGUCGUAGUAUAAUGAGGCAAGUAUUGGCCUCUGGAAAGAUUUUCCCGUCUUGAUGGAAGAACUCUAUUUCUGGGCGGUGGGGGAAACCCAGAGGUGGCACUGUGGAGGCUCCAGUGGCAAACUCCAUUAUCCUCUCAAGAGUGACUCAAAACCUCAAAAGGUGGAAGGUGGAAUCCAAAAAGCAUCAUCUGACCCGUAGUGGAGUACUGACCUCGUGUGUCUAGAGCCAAACUCCGGUCUUUCUCAUGGCCCUGAAAGACAUUUGAUUGAUGGAUGGCCCGCAUCAACAACCGCAAGUAUUCUCUAGUGACGAGAUGACGAUGCAGGCAGAUGAACAGGAGAUCCAGGACAAAGACAAAGAGGAAAAGGAGAACCAGGACAAAGACAAAGGGGAACUAAAUACAGCAGACUUGGAUACAAGAUCGGGUACAGCAGAUGAAGCAUCUGAUAUAAUUUAUACCAAACAGCUGCGGAAAGGACCACCCAGCGCAGAUUUCACUGUUUCAAGUGACGUAAAUAAGAAAUUACUCAAACUGACAACAUGGAAACUAAAAAAGGAAACUGAAAAAAAGCCAAGGUUUCAUCUUGCAUCAGCUAAUGUUGAUCUAGUCGAGACCAUCAACAUAAUUGACACAUUUGACAGACCAGGAGCUGCCAGUGCAGAAGGCACCUAUGCUGGAAGUGGUACAUAUGCAGUAGCUUUUGAAGGCGAACCAGGAAAGAGAAUUCCCAAGGCUGGAGCGUAUGCAGAAGCAGGAGUUGGACGAGCUUCUGCUGAAUUCAGCGUUUUUGAGGCAGAAGCCAAAGGCCCCAACGUCUCAGCUGGUGCUGAAGCCAACAUGGUUGGAGCCGGAGCAAUGGCUCGGGCUGAAGUCGCCAGCGCAUCAGCUAAAGCCGGUCCAGUUGGUGUGAAAGUGGGACUUGGAUUAGACACAGGUGCAACUGUUGGUCCAACCGGAGCAGAGGUUAAAGUCCUGGGAACUGGAUUCUCAGUUGGUCUAAAAAACAGUAUAUCUCUUCUGGGCUCAGAAGUGUCAUGUUCAGUCAUGUAGUCAUAUAGGUAUUACCUUUAAUAUUUAUAUGUAUCAUCUUAAAUCAUGAAGACAAAAAACAAAUGCUGAAUACCUGACAAUAUUCAAGAAACAGCUGAACGUAAUAAAUAAAUAAAAAAAAUCUUCCUA